UGAUUCUCCACUCUCCCAGCUUCGUCUCCGCAUAUCCCGGCAACGCUUCCCGCGGUUUGUCCGUCCACUAGAGACCCGCCAACGUUGAUCUUCAGCCAACCCCUUCUCGAUGGGUUUCACAUCUCGGCCAUGGUCGCUUCCACUAUGCUACUCUAACCUGGUUUUUGAUGGCGCAAGAUGAAAUGGUUCCAAGCCUUCCAAAUGUUCCAGAGAACCCCUACUACCAAAUCUGGUGAAGACCUCACGAGUCCAGUCGCAUCAUCGAAAAAUAUGCUCAACUGUUUCUUGGGUCUUUUGGCAAAGGGGGCAGAUGGGUUUAGGU